GUGGGGAAUAUUGGACAAUGGGCGAAAGCCUGAUCCAGCCAUGCCGCGUGUGUGAAGAAGGUCUUCGGAUUGUAAAGCACUUUAAGUUGGGAGGAAGGGCAGUAAGUUAAUACCUUGCUGUUUUGACGUUACCGACAGAAUAAGCACCGGCUAACUUCGUGCCAGCAGCCGCGGUAAUACGAAGGGUGCAAGCGUUAAUCGGAAUUACUGUGCGUAAAGCGCGCGUAGGUGGUUUUGUAAGUUGGAGGUGAAAUCCCCGGGCUCAACCUGGGAACUGCAUCCAAAACUGCAUGACUAGAGUACGGUAGAGGGUAGUGGAAUUUCCUGUGUAGCGGUGAAAUGCGUAGAUAUAGGAAGGAACACCAGUGGCGAAGGCGACUACCUGGACUGAUACUGACACUGAGGUGCGAAAGCGUGGGGAGCAAACAGGAUUAGAAACCCUGGUAGUCC
rnacentral:rRNA from 1 species